rnacentral:rRNA from 1 species
GAAUUUUGGACAAUGGGCGAAAGCCUGAUCCAGCAAUGCCGCGUGCAGGAUGAAGGCCUUCGGGUUGUAAACUGCUUUUGUACGGAACGAAAAGCUUUGGGUUAAUACCCUGGAGUCAUGACGGUACCGCAACAAUAAGCACCGGCUACCUACCUGCCAGCAGCCGCGGUAAUACGUAGGGUGCCAUCGUUAAGCGGAAGUACUGAGCGUCAAGCGUGCGCAGGCGGUUUUGUAAGACAGAGGUGAAGUCCCCGGGCUCAACCUGGGAACUGCCUUUGUGACUGCAAGGCUAGAGUACGGCAGAGGGGGGUGGAAUUCCGCGUGUAGCAGUGAAAUGCGUAGAUAUGCGGAGGAACACCGAUGGCGAAGGCAACCCCCUGGGCCUGUACUGACGCUCAUGCACGAAAGCGUGGGGAGCAAACAGG